ACCCCUUCACCCGGUGCGCCUGGGCCGUGUCCGGGCCCACGCCGGACCCGCCGGGCCCUCGAUCUUGCGCGUGGCCCCGCCGGGCCCUCGAUCUUGCGCGUGGCCCCGCACCCAGCCCUCCCCGGAGCUCAGGUGCACUGGGCCGGGAGACACCGCUGGGCUGCGCGGCGUGGGAAGAGCCUGCAGAGCGCGUGGUGGGGACCUGGUGGCAGGAGGAACAGCAUCAGCCCUGGUCGCACCACUUUCCCCGCUCCCCCAACCCAGGAGGCUGCCUCCAGGGAAGACCUGGGGUCCUUCCUGCGCUCAGCGCUGGCUGGCUGUCCUGUUCAUGCAGUGGAAGACAUUACAGAAGAAUUCAUACGAGAAGAACAUGAAGCCUGUGGAGAGGGCAGCCUUCAGCAAGCUGGGGGACAGGCCCUUGAAGAAGCCCAGGGCGCCUUCCUUUUGCAGCACCUGCUUGGCACAGUCCAUGAGGCCCUUGUAUUUCCGUACCUGGGGAGAGGAAAGGGAUGAAAAUAUGGAUGCCCGCUCUGCUCCCAUCAGCACAGCCCCUGGCACAUCACAGAUCUUAAGAA
rnacentral:antisense_RNA from 1 species